UUGAUUGAAACUGUGAAGUAAAAUCAAGAUUGUGUAUCUGUCACUUGUGUGUAAUUCUGUUUAUGUUGGUCUGUAAUUUAAAGUGUUGCUUUGGCAACAUUUUUGACAAAAAGGGGGAGUAACACCUGUGAUGCCCCAGGACAACAGAGUGUUUUGCUAAACAGAUAUUGAAGAUCCUCCAAGCCAGAGGUAGUGCUGCAGCUGAGGUUCCACUUCUAUGAGUGUG
rnacentral:lncRNA from 1 species